GACGAACGCUGGCGGCGUGUCUAAUACAUGCAAGUUGAGCGCUGAAGGUUGGUACUUGUACCAACUGGAUGAGCAGCGAACGGGUGAGUAACGCGUGGGGAAUCUGCCUUUGAGCGGGGGACAACAUUUGGAAACGAAUGCUAAUACCGCAUAAAAACUUUAAACACAAGUUUUAAGUUUGAAAGAUGCAAUUGCAUCACUCAAAGAUGAUCCCGCGUUGUAUUAGCUAGUUGGUGAGGUAAAGGCUCACCAAGGCGAUGAUACAUAGCCGACCUGAGAGGGUGAUCGGCCACAGUGGGACUGAGACACGGCCCAAACGCCUACGGGAGGCAGCAGUAGGGAAUCUUCGGCAAUGGACGAAAGUCUGACCGAGCAACGCCGCGUGAGUGAAGAAGGUUUUCGGAUCGUAAAACUCUGUUGGUAGAGAAGAACGUUGGUGAGAGUGGAAAGCUCAUCAAGUGACGGUAACUACCCAGAAAGGGACGGCUAACUACGUG
rnacentral:rRNA from 1 species